GACGAACGCUGGCGGCGUGCUUAACACAUGCGAGUCGAACGGAAAGGCCCUGCUUUUGUGGGGUGCUCGAGUGGCGAACGGGUGAGUAACACGUGAGUAACCUGCCCUUGACUUUGGGAUAACUUCAGGAAACUGGGGCUAAUACCGGGUAGGAGCUCCUGCUGCAUGGUGGGGGUUGGAAAGUUUCGGCGGUUGGGGAUGGACUCGCGGCUUAUCAGCUUGUUGGUGGGGUAGUGGCUUACCAAGGCUUUGACGGGUAGCCGGCCUGGGAGGGUGACCGGCCACAUUGGGCCUGAGAUACGGACCAGUCUCCUACGGGAGGCAGCGGUGGGGAAUCUUGCACAGUGGGCGGAAGCCUGAUGCGGCAGCGCCGCGUGCGGGAUGCCGGCCUUCGGGUUGUAAACCGCUUUCGCCUGUGACGAAGCGUGAGUGACGGUAAUGGGUAAAGAAGCACCGGCUAACUACGUG
rnacentral:rRNA from 1 species